UUUACUACGUAACAGCUGACUCUUCAGCGCGUGUACGUAUAUCAUUAAUUCGAGUGUGUGCCCCAAUUAUGACAAUGUGAAGUCUAUUCAGCGGACUUUUAGAGGAGAAAUCCUCGAGAAGCGCUGCCCGAUGAUAGAAAAAGAACCCACGAUGUGUAUUUUUUUUAUUUUUUGAAUCAUACCACGCGAGCAACGGCAGUUUUCCCGCGCGCUCUAGGAACUCGCUCUGUGAUGAAUUUGUUUGAAUACAAUGCAAACAGAGUAGAGGAGAGAGUUCAGCAACAAAGAUGACUGAAACGCAGUACUCACUUUCCGAACAAUUCGCCAUCCUGUAUGGACUCUGGUAAUUUUUUGUUCAACGUCUCUGGCAGCAACAGCGAGACUACACCUCCGAUUAAAGCGCACGUACCGAAAAUCACCAAAGGGAAAGGAGUCCAAAUUUCCGACUGUAAAAUGCAAAACGCGAAUAUUAAUAAAUGAAAUUGAAAAUGCAAA